rnacentral:rRNA from 1 species
ACCUACCUCGGAUCAGACGAGACUACCAGCAUAUCAGUAAGCGGAGGAAAAGAAACAACG